rnacentral:lncRNA from 1 species
UCCUAAAUGCGUAAUUUUGAAAUAUAAUCUUGCUGGAAUACUUACCUCAUCAGGAUAUCAGAACAUUCUUACAUGAACUCUGAUCUCUUGGCACCAGGCUAUCGAAAUUUAACAUCAGAACUGAUGGACUCAAAUCCAGGAAGAAAGAAUCCAAAUUAUUUCACUUUGGAAUUAAUCUAGGUUAAAUAUUGAUAUAUCUUGUUUAAAUUUCAAAUACC